GACGAACGCUGGCGGCGUGCUUAACACAUGCAAGUCGAACGGAAAGGCCCUGCUUUUGUGGGGUGCUCGAGUGGCGAACGGGUGAGUAACACGUGAGUAACCUGCCCUUGACUUUGGGAUAACUUCAGGAAACUGGGGCUAAUACCGGAUAGGAGCUCCUGCUGCAUGGUGGGGGUUGGAAAGUUUCGGCGGUUGGGGAUGGACUCGCGGCUUAUCAUCUUGUUGGUGGGGUAGUGGCUUACCAAGGCUUUGACGGGUAGCCGGCCUGAGAGGGUGACCGGCCACAUUGGGACUGAGAUACGGCCCAGACUCCUACGGGAGGCAGCAGUGGGGAAUAUUGCACUAUGGGCGGAAGCCUGAUGCAGCAACGCCGCGUGCGGGAUGACGGCCUUCGGGUUGUAAACCGCUUUCGCCUGUGACGAAGCGUGAGUGACGGUAAUGGGUAAAGAAGCACCGGCUAACUACGUG
rnacentral:rRNA from 1 species